rnacentral:rRNA from 1 species
GAUGAACGCUGGCGGCGUGCUUAACACAUGCAAGUCGAGCGAGAAGUUUUGAAAAGAUUCUUCGGAUGAAAUUUAAAAUGGAAAGCGGCGGACGGGUGAGUAACGCGUAGGCAACCUGCCCCAUACAAAGGGAUAGCAUUUGGAAACGAAUAUUAAUACCUUAUGAAACUUAACUAGUGCAUGCUAGGUAGGUCAAAGAUUUAUCGGUAUGGGAUGGGCCUGCGUCUGAUUAGCUAGUUGGUGAGGUAACGGCUCACCAAGGCGACGAUCAGUAGCCGGACAGCGGGGGUGAACGGAAACGUAGGAACAGAGACACGGUCCAAACUCCUACGGGAGGGAGCAGAAGGGAAAAUUGCAAAAUGGGGGAAACCCUGAUGAAGCAAAGACGCGUGAACGAUGAAGGCAUUUGGGUCGUAAAGUUCUGUUCUAGGUGAUGAAAACUGACAGUAACAUAGGAGAAAGCCCCGGCUAACUCCGUG